AUUGAACGCUGGCGGCAGGCCUAACACAUGCAAGUCGAACGAGUGGCGGACGGGUGAGUAAUGUCUGGGAAACUGCCUGAUGGAGGGGGAUAACUACUGGAACCGGUGGCUAAUACCGCAUACCAUCGGAUGUACCCAGAUGGGAUUAUCUUUUAGGUGGGGUAAAGGCUCACCUAGGCGACGAUCCCUAGCUGGUCUUAGAGGAUGACCAGCCACACGGGAACUGAGACACGGCCCAGACUCCUACGGGAGGCAGCAGUGGGGAAUAUUGCACAAUGGGGGCAAGCCUGAUGCAGCCAUGCCGCGUGUAUGAAGAAGGCCUUCGGGUUGUAAAGUACUUUCAGCGGGGAGGCGUUACCCGCAGAAGAAGCACCGGCUAACUCCGUGCCAGCAGCCGCGGUAAUAC
rnacentral:rRNA from 1 species